UACGUAGGGUGCAAGCGUUAAUCGGAAUACUGGGCGUAAAGCGUGCGCAGGCGGUGAUGUAAGACAGUUGUGAAAUCCCCGGGCUCAACCCUGGGAACUGCAUCUGUGACUGCAUCGCUGGAGUGCGGCAGAGGGGGAUGGAAUUCCGCGUGUAGCAGUGAAAUGCGUAGAUAUGCGGAGGAACACCGAUGGCGAAGGCAAUCCCCUGGGCCUGCACUGACGCUCAUGCACGAAAGCGUGGGA
rnacentral:rRNA from 1 species